UUAAGAAACACAGAGAAUGGCAUAAACUCACUAGCUCUCAGGGGAAUAGACUCUGAGUUUAAAACUUUAUGCAGUGUAUGUGAUAUAGUCAACAAUAGUCAAGUGACUACUGAAGAUGGUCACGAAACCCCUGACGAUGUUUACCAAAAUACACUGAAGAUUUCACAGCAAGAGAAGAACAGAUUCCCAUCUAUAGUGCCAAGACGUCAGUACAGACCUUAUUUACAGUGUGACGACAAUUCAUUAGGGGACUACAUCAAUGCUGUAUUUGUACCGGUGUGUAAUAGAAAACAAGAAAAAAAUCAAUAUUUUAUUUAUAAGACAAAUAGAGUGGAGAGAACCUUGUUCAAUCACUGACAUAACUUCAAUAUUGCAAGUUUUAUCUCCACUUUCUUUGUAAAAAAUAUUAAUUAGCACUAAUUGAUUAAUUAUUUGGUUGAUUUUUGUAUUGAUUCAUGUGUUGCAUUAGUAAUUAAUAACUGU
rnacentral:sRNA from 1 species